UACGGAGGGGGCAAGCGUUGUUCGGAUUUACUGGGCGUAAAGGGUGUGUAGGCGGCUGGAUAAGUCUGGUGUGAAAUCUUCACCGCUCAACGGGAAGAGGUCACUGGAAACUGUUCAGCUUGAGUAUGGUAGAGGUAAGCGGAAUUCCUGGUGUAGCGGUGGAAUGUGUAGAUAUCAGGAAGAACAUCGGUGGCGAAGGCGGCUUACUGGGCCAUUACUGACGCUGAGACACGAAAGCGUGGGGAGCAAACGGGAUUAGAUACCCCGGUAGUCCACGCUGUAAACGGUGCGCAUUAGGUGUGGGGGGUAUCGACCCCUCCCGUGCCGACGCUAACGCAUUAAAUGCGCCGCCUGGGGAGUACGGCCGCAAGGUUGAA
rnacentral:rRNA from 1 species